GCAUGCUAGACACGGGGCAGACAAUCUGUUUGAGAGCUCUGCUCUUUGGGUGACAGCGCUGGAUCAGCCAGGGGCACGGAGGAGGGGCCCACCUUAAGAUGUCUCAGCUGCUGAGUCAGCACGCCCGUCAUUCUAGGUUAACCCCUGGCUUUGAACGGUCUUAGGAUACAUCACCUCUCUUUUGGGUCUCUGAGGCUCCAGAGGGCUCUUAUUAUGAAGUGGGUGUCCUUGCCUGUGGCUAACCCUGUUUAAACAAAGCCUUAUUCACAGCCUGGUGGGUCUGGAUCAGGCUUGCUGACCUCUGUCGUGGAGGAGAUCAGAGAUGGAAGGACCAGUCCAAGACGAGAAUACUGAGGUUCAGAAGGAUGGCAGCAUGUCAAAGGUCACUCUGAUGGAGCUGGAAGUCCAACGAGGGUCUGUGUGUGAAGCCAGGUCUUCUGUGAAUUGAGGAGAAGGAGGAAUUCUGCUAGCCCAGAAGUCCCAGCCGGCAAAGCCUCCAAGCUCAGGGGCUUCAGGACCGAGAACUCACACGCAGGCUUCAAAGCCGAGUCUUGCCACAGCCGUAGUCCACUCCCUAGGAAUCGGUUGCUUCCAUCUGGGCUGUGGACCGAGUCUUAAUUACAGCAUCCUGAAGACUGCAGCAUCAGCAGGAGCAGGCGCAGAAUCCAUUUAGAAUGCCCGUCCCUGCCAAGUCCGGCUGGGCAGGGAGGGGGAUGAGCCAGCCAGGGAUGGCUAAGUGGGGUGUUUUAUGGGAACCUUGUUCUUCAGCCCUCUCUGGUCUUAGGGUGAGCAAGGGUGAUGGUUACUUGAAUGGACUCUCAGAGCAGGGAGGGACAGGCCCUGGGGUCUGUGGGGAGUGUCAGCUCCAUGUGGAUGACCCCAGCUCAGUGUCUAUAUGUUGGGCUCAUGACACUGUGAUGGUACCAUGUCAGUGUCCUUGAGACCAAACCCUCCACCUUUCCGGCCCCAUCAACCUCUGGCCUGAAUUUCCUGGGAGCGGAAGCAAGAUUGGCUUCCUUAUCCAGGUUCUGCAAUCUCAGAUCCAACCCACCAGAAAUUCAUAUGCAGCUGCUACAGUGAGCUAGGCUUUAAAGACCAUCCAGGAGCUCCACGAGGAAGGCAGGACACACUGCCAUGUGUGGUCACCAUGCUGCUUCACAGAGACAUGGGUUUGUGAGCAUAGUCACCUGGAGCCAAUCCCCUGCCAGAGACCAAGGGCCGAGAAGGAUGACAACAGACAGCCGAGCCACUUCUCACAUGCAGCAUCUCCACACAGUGCUCAGAGGCCUCUGUGAAUGAUCUUUAUAAAGAGAUUGAAGAAACAAGCACGCCACAGGCGCUUUAGAAAAUUGUUCACCAGCUUCUGUCUGCCCAGCGAAUCUAUGGAAUAUUUGCCCCAGAUGAAUGAAAACAUAAGCAGACAAAAAGUCUUGUAGGGGAAACAAUCCAAAUGUCCACAUUUGGUGGGUGGAUAGAGUUGGACAUACAAUGGAAUACUAUUUAGCAAUGAAAAGGAGAAAGCAAGCCAUUGUUAUACCGAGCCAGAUUCCAUGGAUCUGAGGCUCCCAAAAAGUCAAAGAGGUUCAAUGUGGCAGAGAAGACCUGUGCUCCCCUCUGGAGGAAGAAGCACUGUAGGGAGGACAAGGACAGCUGAUCUGUGGUUCUCUCAAGGGUAUGGCGUUUGUCAGACUUAAUAGAGCUGGGGGAAGGAGGAAGUACUAACUGACAUAGUUAAUUUAUUAAUGACAUAUUAAUAAAAAUAAUAAAGUGACUACCACACAUGUGUACAUGAACACACGCACACUGGUGGACCACAGGUACAUGCACAGGUGUGCUACAUACACACACAUCCCAUAUGUACACACAUGCACACACACACACACACACACACACCAUCCAUACAAACUCACUAAAUUUGACAAGGAUCAUGUGCAACACUUUGUCUUCACCUUACAGACAAUCAAACUAGAGCUCAGAGAGGGGAAGACACCCACCUGAAAUCACCCAGCAGGCUCCCAGCUCAGGAUGAAAUGGGGCUCCUGUCCCUUGGCCUCUCCACGGAAGCCCUUUGGAUCACUGCGUUUGAACUUCAGUCCACUUGUCUGUCAUCGCCAUGGUGACAAAGGUUCCUCACAGCUGCCUGGGAGGGCACACAGGGAAGCCUGUGUUCCUGGAAGGCUUGGGAAGGGCUGCAGUGCUGACCUGCAGGCCUCUGAAGAGUCAUUGCAACUGGAUGGCUAAAGCCUCACAGCGCCAGUCCAUCACCCGCCUUGCUGGUGGGAGCAGGAGGCAGAGCCCCAGGCCAGGACUCUGCAGCUCCUGAGGGCUUCAA
rnacentral:sRNA from 1 species